rnacentral:lncRNA from 1 species
UUGGAAACGACGCCUCGUUAGUAAUUAGCUAAUGAGCUGGCUGCGCUUCUGCAGAAGCUUUUCCAGCCGCUGCGUUUCUGCUUCUGUGCUGCACGCACAGCUGGUGGUGGUUCUUGGCAACUCACUUAUGGGGCUGGUGGACUCACUUAUGGGGCUGGAGGACCUGGGUGUGGGGCUGGAGGACCUCGGGGUGGGGCUGGAGGAUUCAUGGUGAUGUUGAACUUGGAUGUGGGGCAGAAGGAUUCACUUACGGGGCUGGAGGACUUGGAUGUACGUCUGGAGGACUGGGAAGUGGGGCUGGAGGACUUGGGGCUGGAGGACUCAUUUAGGGGGCUGGGGAACUGGGAUGUGGGGCUGGAGCACUGGGAUGUGGGGCUGGAGAACUCAUGGGGCUGGAGGACCUCGGUGUGGGGCUGGAGGACUCCUAGUGCUGGUGAACUCAGAUGUGGGGCUGGAGGACUUGGAUGUACGUCUGGAGGACUGGGAACUGGGGCGGGAGGAACUCGGAUGUGGGGCUGGAGGACUGGGAACUGGGGCUGGAGGACCUUGGUGUGGGGCUGGAGAACGGAGAUGUGGGGCUGGAGGACCUCGGGUGUGGGGCUGGAGGACUGGGAUGUGGGGCUGGAGGACUCACUUGUGGGGCUGGAGGACUCACUUAUGGGACAGGAGUUGGAUGUGCGGCUGGAGGACGUUGGUGUGGGGCUGGAGGACUCGCUUAUGGGGCUGGAGGACUGGAAUGUGGGGCUGGAGGACUGGCCUGAAAGAGGAGGCGGAGAGGCACUCAUCGAAGAGUGUGAGAAGGAGACACGAGGCUGGAGGAC